GUCCUUGGUUCGGCAGCCCAUACACUAAAACUGGAAUGAUACAGAAAAGACUAGCAUGGUCCCUGCACAAAAGUAGAUGAAUUCCUCAGGGUGCAGGUCCAGUUGCAA
ensembl:snRNA U6 U6 spliceosomal RNA